UACGUAGGGGGCGAGCGUUGUCCGGAUUUAUUGGGCGUAAAGAGCGUGUAGGCGGUUCGGUAAGUCUGUCGUGAAAUCCUGAGGCUCAACCUCGGGCGUGCGAUGGAUACUGCCGGGCUAGAGGAUGGUAGAGGCGAGUGGAAUUCCCGGUGUAGCGGUGAAAUGCGCAGAUAUCAGGAGGAACACCAAUAGCGAAGGCAGCUCGCUGGGACGUUACUGACACUGAGGCGCGAAAGCGUGGGGAGCGAACAGG
rnacentral:rRNA from 1 species